rnacentral:misc_RNA from 1 species
AACGCAGAUUGCGCCCUUUGGUAUUCCGAAGGGCAUGCCUGUUGGAGUGUCUUAUAAACCUCACCUCUAUAGUUUUCUAUAGUUGUGCUUUGGGUGUUGCCAUUCAGUUGGCUCGCCUUAAAUGUCUAAGUGGAAUGCGUAAUAAGUUCUCGCAACCCUCCACUCUAACACACUUUAUAUUCUGACCUCCAAUCAGGUAGGACUACCCGCUGAACUUAA